rnacentral:rRNA from 1 species
AACGAACGCUGGCGGCAUGCCUAACACAUGCAAGUCGAACGAGACCUCCGGGUCUAGUGGCGCACGGGUGCGUAACGCGUGGGAACCUGCCCUUAGGUUCGGAAUAACUCCCCGAAAGGGGUGCUAAUACCGGAUAAUGUCUUCGGACCAAAGAUUUAUCGCCUUUGGAUGGGCCCGCGUUGGAUUAGCUGGUUGGUAGGGUAAAAGCCUACCAAGGCGACGAUCCAUAGCUGGUCUGAGAGGCUGAUCAGCCACACUGGGACUGAGACACGGCCCAGACUCCUACGGGAGGCAGCAGUGGGGAAUAUUGGACAAUGGGCGAAGGCCUGAUCCAGCAAUGCCGCGUGAGUGAUGAAGGCCUUAGGGUUGUAAAGCUCUUUUACCCGGGAUGAUAAUGACAGUACCGGGAGAAUAAGCUCCGGCUAACUCCGUG